CCCCCAACCGAGACCCCCCAGGAACGGGGUGAGGAAGGCAGAAGGCCACCCGAGGAACCUCCACACAGACUGCUCCCCGGGGUCCUCUGCCGGGCUGGUGGGGAGCACAGGAGCGCCAGCUGUGGCCAUGAAGACACCGUCCACAUGAGCCUGACAACCCUGGAAGGCCUGGCCCCUCCUGAGGCCCAGCCUGAAGGAGACCUGGAAUCCGAGGCCAAGACACCAGCCGAGCGGAUAGACCCUGGAGCAGCCCCCAGAGGAGGUCCAGAACCACAGGAGGACUCAGCACCCGGGCAGGGAGGACCUGUAGCUCUUUCAGAGGGACACUCACGACCUCAUGGGGACUCACCCCCCGGGGAGGAUGAACCCUCUGCUCCACUCCCAAGAGGCCCAGCUCCUCUUGAGGAGUCACCACCCGAGCAGGAUGGAACCAAGGCGCCUCCUGCAGGAGGACCAGGCCCCCAGGAAGACUCAGCCCACGGGCAGGAUCAACCUGCUUCUCCUCCUGAUGGAGGACCAGAGCCUCAUGACCUCUCACCUCCCAGGAAGGAUGAAAAUCUGGCUCCUCCUCCAGGAGGACGAGGCUCUCAGGAGGCCUCACCUCUCGGGCAGGAUGAAGAUCCUGCUCCUCCUCCAGGAGGCUCAGGUCCACAGGAACACUCCCCAGCCCUGCAGGGGGCAUCUGGUGUGGGUCUGGCCGUAUGCCCAGUCACUGAUGUGCCUUUCCCUGUGCUGGACGGCAUCGUUGCCCCAGGCUCUGCCGACGUCAAAGGGCCCGAGGAGCAUUCAGCAGCCCUUUUGGGAGCACCUGCCCUGACUGCUCCCGCACCCCUUGUACCAGGUCCUGGCCUGGCUCUUUCAAGAACCCUCAGUCUGGUUCCAAAACCACUUUCCCCAUGGUCCCCUUCAGUCCUGCCAGUGCCCUCCCCAUCAGCUCCCCCAAAAUCCCAUCCCCCUGCUCCCCUUCCUGACGUGGACUCUCCUUCCCCUCUCCUGAUUUCUCUUUGGAGGUGUGUCCAAUUGCUCUUCCUGUUUCAUAUCUUUUAUGGUAUAGUUCACUCCGUGUUUUGAGCCUAGAAAUUUUAGAACGUUGAAACAAAAUAAAAAUAAAAAAAUAAAGUAGUUAUUGAUUAGGGAAGCAAUCAAAAGCACAAGUUAACAAAUAAAG
rnacentral:lncRNA from 9 species